rnacentral:rRNA from 1 species
UACGGAAGGCAGCAGUGGGGAAUAUUGCACAAUGGGCGCAAGCCUGAUGCAGCCAUGCCGCGUGUAUGAAGAAGGCCUUCGGGUUGUAAAGUACUUUCAGUCGUGAGGAAGGUGUUAAGGUUAAUAACCUUAGCAAUUGACGUUAGCGACAGAAGAAGCACCGGCUAACUCCGUGCCAGCAGCCGCGGUAAUACGGAGGGUGCGAGCGUUAAUCGGAAUUACUGGGCGUAAAGGGCACGCAGGCGGUUAAUUAAGUUGGAUGUGAAAUCCCCGGGCUUAACCUGGGAAUGGCAUUCAAGACUGGUUAGCUAGAGUCUUGUAGAGGGGGUAGAAUUCCAUGUGUAGCGGUGAAAUGCGUAGAGAUGUGGAGGAAUACCGGUGGCGAAGGCGGCCCCUGGACAAAGACUGACGCUCAUGUGCGAAAGCGUGGGGAGCGAAACAGGGAUUUAGAUACC